CGAGCGUCGCUAAUCGAACGUUUAUCCAGCCAACUUCGUUCUGAAGUGUUAUUAUAUUUUGAGAGUUGGCAUUUCAUGGCUUGUUUAUAAGAAAGAUUCGGUCGAUUCUCGUGCGGUUUGUGCUCUUCGUGCGUGUGAUGAUAAAGACGAAAAAAGUACUUUCGACAUAUUUUACUUUUUUAUUAGAAGAAAAGAUAAGAAUGCUGUUCAGGCAAGAAAAAAGUUACGCAAAGUUUGUAGAAAAGGUGUAUCAAUAGUGCCAAAACUAGUUUUUAAAAUUUCGACGUUAAAGCCGCGUACGCCACGUUCUACAAGAUCAGUCGAAGCUAAAAUGGACAUUGAAGCAAACCGAUGAAGAUUGAAUUUGUCGAAUUCGACUGUUCGUGAUCACGUGAAACAAUUUGGUGUUUCAUCGUCAUGAAAAAAAACGAAAUUAUUUUCCGAACAACCCAAUAUAUUGAUUCGAGUGAAAUGAUGAUCGUUUAUGAAUGAAAAAGAUAGAUAGAUUGAUGGUGUUCUUUUCUUGAUCUUAUCAACGAGCAAGCGUUGUUUAAUUAUUAAUCUGAUCUUGGCCGGGUUUAUAGGAUGAUGGGCUGAGAUUAAGAGAAGUAGUUCAAAGCUAGAAUCGAUGGUAAAAAUUUAUUUAACUUCUUAUUGAGUUUUUAUUGAGUUUGCUCUGGGUUAAUAUCUUUUCAACUCUCUUCGUAAUAACACUUUGAAACCAGUAUUUUAACUGUCGAAUAAGAUAAAAUAUUACUCGGUAUUUCGAGUUUCUUUUUUUUUUAUUAUUUUUAUUAUUAUUAAAAUUCUGCGGUUCGUUUUAUUUGUUAUCGUUGAAAUAAUUUUAAUUUUGAAACAUGCGUCCAUUCUCGAAGAGGUCAAUAAACAACGAUCGUCAAAUAAAUUCUUCGCAAUUCCAUAUUGACGUGAAACAUGAAAAAAAAAAAUCAUCAAAAGAGAGUAUCGAGGAAAUCAUUUUUUUUCCUCUCUAUGAAAAAGAUUAUUGAGCCGUUCGAAAAUGUUCUGGUAUCGAAUGGCUUCAGCGUAAGAAAACGUGGAAGAAGAAAAAGUGGUGGAAAAAGUCGGUCGAGCUUUGACCCGGCGAGAAAAUUGUCGUGCAAGGGUUUCUCGAUAAGGAAUAAAAUAACGCGUGUGCGUCGAGUUGAGUUCGCAUGCGACGCGCAAUAAGUCUUCCCGAACGACAAAAUCGCGAGCGUGUCGCGAGAAAAUACCGCGUGAACGAUAAAAAGAUCGAGAAUACGACGUUCUCUCGAUAAAUAUUUCCUUUCCCCUCCCCUCCCAUCUCCUUCCUCUCCGUAAUGUUUUCGAAGCCCCGAAUCGAGAUCCUGGAAUCUUUGUAAAAAGAAAAAAAAAAAAAAACGAAUUGAGAAAAAUUGGGAUUCGUUUCAAACGCUUAAUUUAAUAACAAUCGAAAAAAGCAAUAAAACAUUCAUCGAACGAAUAACAGUCUUGGAAUAACGAUAACGAAUAUGAUUUUACGGUCGGACCUUUUAAUUUGCGGUGUAACACGCGAACACGCCCACCAUCGGUACUCCCCGAUGAUCGAUCAUCGAGAAUAAAUAUUUAUUAGUCGAAAGGUUCACCGAAAUUUAAAUAAUUGAAAAAUAAACAAUUUCCAAUUUCAAUCCCUCCCCGAUACCUCUCAAUUUCAAUCGAAACCGAAUUAAAUCGAUAGUUUGUAUUUUUCUGUGCCCGUAUGUAUGCAACGAUUAGUACACAGUAAUUAUAUAGAAUAAAAAAUUUGUUUCUACGAUACAGACACGUCACAAAACACUAUUCGUCGCUAAUUAAGAGGACCAUUUAUUUGAUAAGAUCGCCCAUUUUGAACGAGAAAUCGUCGUAAUACUGAAAAGGUUAAAGUCGGAGUGAAUCCUGAAUCGUUUAAUGGCGAAACGAAUACGAACUGGUGACAACGAAUAAUAUUUGAAUUACGAAGAAGAAGGAAAAAGGACGAUCGGUCAUUGGAGAGAUGGAAACCGAAAAUUGUUCGAUGAAGCGAAACGAGGGAACGAAGAGGGAUCAAAAAAGAAGAAAAAACGGCGGAGGGAAGGGUGAAAACGGCAAAGAAAAAGCGCGGGAAAUUCGAUUGGCAAUCGAGCCGGUAUCGGAGAAACGAGGAUUUUCCAAGUGGUGGCCGUCGACAAUUACGCACGGCCCAUUUAAAUGUAAUUCGACGCUAUUGGAUAGAGCCGAGUCGAACCGGAAAUAACGUCUCGACCGAUUGUUAUCGCGCCACGACGAUCGCCAUGUGAAUCAAAUUAGAUUUCGAGAAGCUUGGAAAAAAUGAGAUAAAUAACGAGUGGAUAUUCGUCGUCGAAGAGGAUGUCAAAGAAACAACAAUAUGGAAAUAAAUUACGUCGAAUACGAAUUUUAUUUUUGACUACGACUGGACGUUUUUGUUAAUAUUAUUAUUAUUUUCUAAUUCUAAUUUCAACAAUUUGUGCCUUUUUAAUUUUUAAAAAUUUUUUUUUCAUAUUUUUAGAUAAAUAAACGAAUAGAUAUUCGUCGUCGAAGAGGAUGUCAAAGAAACAACAAUAUGGAAAUAAAUUACAUCGAAUACGAAUUUUAUUUUUGACUACGACUGGACGUUUUUGUUAUUAUUAUUAUUAUUUUAUAAUUCUAAUUUCAACAAUUUGUGCCUUUUUAAUUUUAAAAAAUUUUUUUUUUCAUAUUUUUAGAUAAAUAACGAGUGGAUAUUCGUCGUCGAAGAGGAUGUCAAAGAAACAACAAUAUGGAAAUAAAUUACAUCGAAUACGAAUUUUAUUUUUGACUACGAUUGGACGUUUUUAUUAUUAUUAUUUUCUAAUUCUAAUUUCAACAAUUUGUGCCUUUUUAAUUUUUUAAUUUUUUUUUUCAUAUUUUUAGAUAAAUAAACGAGUGGAUAUUCGUCGUCGAAGAGGAUGUCAAAGAAACAACAAUAUGGAAAUAAAUUACAUCGAAUACGAAUUUUAUAUUUGAUUACGAUUGGACGUUUUUAUUAUUAUUAUUUUCUAAUUCUAAUUUCAACAAUUUGUGCCUUUUUAAUUUUUAAAAAAUUUUUUUUUCAUAUUUUUAGAUAAAUAAAGAGUGGAUAUUCGUCGUCGAAGAGGAUGCCAAAGAAACAACAAUAUGGAAAUAAAUUAUAUCGGGAAUAACGAGGCACGGAUUUUAUCUUUGACCACGACUGGACGAUAUCAAUUUGCGGAAAGAGAGAGAGAGAGAGAGAGAUGUAUCAGUUCCAAGGAAAUAAAUUCUUGGGAAAUAUUUGUCCUUCGAGGGAAAGAGA